rnacentral:sRNA from 1 species
ACACAAGAAGGGAGGUGGUCCGCGAAAUUGAUAGCUUCAUGGACAUGUGAGGUGGCUGCGCGCUAGCAGCACCGGCUCGGCGGAGCUAGCCACCGACGUGCGCUAGCGAAUUCCCCGCAGUCACCCGGCCCCCGAGCUUCCCGGUCAAGUCCAACCGGGAGCAUGGCUCGGGGGCCGUUCCAU